CUCAGUUGGAGUCUCAGUGGUGUUUAACUAAUCCACUUUGAAUUUGUGCUUUUAUUUGUAUUGAUUUCAAAGCGCUAAAGAAAAAGCCCCAAAUCUCUCAAAGCUAACUUAAAACACUCAUUUUUAAAUAAAUCCCAUAUAAACAUUACUAAGACAUUUCGUACCAGGCUCCCCAAGGUGUGCAGAAGCACCUGGGUUCAGCCCGUGGCUGCGGACAGGAGAUACCAGCUCUGUCUGAGACCCGGGAACGGUCCUUCCCCAGGCGAGUCCCGCUGCUGACUGCGCUGAUGGCCGCUGUGCUCAGUGGUGGCAGCGAUGGUGCUUUUAAUCAACGUCACUCAACAAUUUGUCUUCAUGCAAAUGCAUUUUGCUGCAGAAUUCAGCAUAGCCUGUCACGAGUCAACCAGUGGUGGUUUACAGAAGUUAGCUUUGGAAUUGGACAGCCCUGGCUGGAAAUACAGAGCAAAUAAAGCUGCAUCCUUCAAUCCAGAGGGAGAGGAGGAUACUCCUUGCUGCUCUUUUCCACUUGCACCCCAAAACAGCCCAGCUAGCGCAGCGGUGUCCUGGAAAGACAUUGCACAAAUCAGUUAUUCUCCUGCCUGCUGUCAGCGCUCCCACCACAAAGCCUCCUGCUGCCGCUCUCGCAUGCAUGAGAUGCGCUGACAUUUUCUUGUCUCCUGUCUUUCUGAGCUUGCAAAGAACAUAGCCCAGCACAGCAAGAAAUCCUGCCAUCCCUGCUCAGGCGGGAAAACAGUGAUGUUAAUGGGCUUCUUCAAGCAGAAAAUGUAAUUUUGGCUUAAAGAGUGUCAAAUGGUGUCUCGUACGCGUGCAUGCGGGUAAUCUGGAGGAGAAAUUGCAGCAGGCAGCGUUGCCAAGGAGGAAUUGGCAUUGUGAGCUUCUGAUUAAUUCUCCUGGGGCAGCGUCUGGAGUGUUUCAAGCGCAACAUUACAGCGACGCUAAAAACAGAGCACUGAACUUUGUGUGUCGGAAAGUGGCUUUGCUCAUUCCUCAGAACUACUCAUGUAAGUAUAAUUGCUCUCCUGUAAUCCUUUUUCUUUCAGAAGUAGGAUGGGAAGUGUAAUUCAGAUCGUUAUCUCCAGGAAUUUGGGUUUUGAAGGCUCCAAAGUAGCAAGCAGCGGCCUUGCAAGCUGCUUAAUCGACAGCCACGCAUACAGAUGAGGCCAGGUUCAGUAGCAUGGCACGUGCAAAUCGCUGCUAAGCUCUAGGGAAGCUGCUCUUUGGGGGACGAUCGGUGCCACUAACCACGGUAACGAAGUCCGACGGACGGAAGUUUGCCAGGAUUCUCCCCGUCCCGUAGAGCCUGCGCGGCUCCUGCCCGCAUCAUCUACGGGACGCAACCCAGGCUUGAAGAUGUUUUGCAGGGAGCUCCACUCCUGUGUAGCGCUGAGGAUCCCAUCCAGGAGGGAAUGCAGCUAAGGAAAAAAAAAAAAAACAGAAUUACAGCAGAAGUCACCUUUGAAGUGCAACAGCUUCCCAGCGACGGGGCGGAAAGGGCUCUUCGGGCGAGCACCUUUACCCAGCGCCCCCGGCCCGGCAGGGACGAGGGGCUGAGGCCUCGCGAGCGCUGCUGGGGGUCAGGACGCCCCCGGGGACGGAGAGAGAGCGCGGAGGCGACCCACGGAGCGGGCCGCUGCCCCCUCGCCUGCCCCCUU